AAACCAGCACCUCAAGUGGUCAGGAUGAUUAUUGGGCCUAAAGCAUCCGUAGCCUGCUCUGUAAGUUUUCGGUUAAAUCUGUACGCUCAACGUACAGGCUGUCGGGAAUACUGCAGAGCUAGGGAGUGGGAGAGGUAGACGGUACUCGGGAGGAAGUGGUAAAAUGCUUUGAUCUCUCGAUGACCACCUGUGGCGAAGGCGGUCUACCAGAACACGUCCGACGGUGAGGGAUGAAAGCUGGGGGAGCAAACCGGAUUAGAAACCCGAGUAGUCC
rnacentral:rRNA from 1 species